rnacentral:rRNA from 1 species
GUUAAGCGACUAAGCGUACACGGUGGAUGCCCUGGCAGUCAGAGGCGAUGAAGGACGUGCUAAUCUGCGAUAAGCGUCGGUAAGGUGAUAUGAACCGUUAUAACCGGCGAUUUCCGAAUGGGGAAACCCAGUGUGUUUCGACACACUAUCAUUAACUGAAUCCAUAGGUUAAUGAGGCGAACCGGGGGAACUGAAACAUCUAAGUACCCCGAGGAAAAGAAAUCAACCGAGAUUCCCCCAGUAGCGGCGAGCGAACGGGGAGCAGCCCAGAGCCUGAAUCAGUGUGUGUGUUAGUGGAAGCGUCUGGAAAGGCGCGCGAUACAGGGUGACAGCCCCGUACACAAAAAUGCACAUGCUGUGAGCUCGAUGAGUAGGGCGGGACACGUGGUAUCCUGUCUGAAUAUGGGGGGACCAUCCUCCAAGGCUAAAUACUCCUGACUGACCGAUAGUGAACCAGUACCGUGAGGGAAAGGCGAAAAGAACCCCGGCGAGGGGAGUGAAAAAGAACCUGAAACCGUGUACGUACAAGCAGUGGGAGCACGCUUAGGCGUGUGACUGCGUACCUUUUGUAUAAUGGGUCAGCGACUUAUAUUCUGUAGCAAGGUUAACCGAAUAGGGGAGCCGAAGGGAAACCGAGUCUUAACUGGGCGUUAAGUUGCAGGGUAUAGACCCGAAACCCGGUGAUCUAGCCAUGGGCAGGUUGAAGGUUGGGUAACACUAACUGGAGGACCGAACCGACUAAUGUUGAAAAAUUAGCGGAUGACUUGUGGCUGGGGGUGAAAGGCCAAUCAAACCGGGAGAUAGCUGGUUCUCCCCGAAAGCUAUUUAGGUAGCGCCUCGUGAAUUCAUCUCCGGGGGUAGAGCACUGUUUCGGCAAGGGGGUCAUCCCGACUUACCAACCCGAUGCAAACUGCGAAUACCGGAGAAUGUUAUCACGGGAGACACACGGCGGGUGCUAACGUCCGUCGUGAAGAGGGAAACAACCCAGACCGCCAGCUAAGGUCCCAAAGUCAUGGUUAAGUGGGAAACGAUGUGGGAAGGCCCAGACAGCCAGGAUGUUGGCUUAGAAGCAGCCAUCAUUUAAAGAAAGCGUAAUAGCUCACUGGUCGAGUCGGCCUGCGCGGAAGAUGUAACGGGGCUAAACCAUGCACCGAAGCUGCGGCAGCGACGCUUAUGCGUUGUUGGGUAGGGGAGCGUUCUGUAAGCCUGUGAAGGUGUGCUGUGAGGCAUGCUGGAGGUAUCAGAAGUGCGAAUGCUGACAUAAGUAACGAUAAAGCGGGUGAAAAGCCCGCUCGCCGGAAGACCAAGGGUUCCUGUCCAACGUUAAUCGGGGCAGGGUGAGUCGACCCCUAAGGCGAGGCCGAAAGGCGUAGUCGAUGGGAAACAGGUUAAUAUUCCUGUACUUGGUGUUACUGCGAAGGGGGGACGGAGAAGGCUAUGUUGGCCGGGCGACGGUUGUCCCGGUUUAAGCGUGUAGGCUGGUUUUCCAGGCAAAUCCGGAAAAUCAAGGCUGAGGCGUGAUGACGAGGCACUACGGUGCUGAAGCAACAAAUGCCCUGCUUCCAGGAAAAGCCUCUAAGCAUCAGGUAACAUCAAAUCGUACCCCAAACCGACACAGGUGGUCAGGUAGAGAAUACCAAGGCGCUUGAGAGAACUCGGGUGAAGGAACUAGGCAAAAUGGUGCCGUAACUUCGGGAGAAGGCACGCUGAUAUGUAGGUGAAGUCCCUCGCGGAUGGAGCUGAAAUCAGUCGAAGAUACCAGCUGGCUGCAACUGUUUAUUAAAAACACAGCACUGUGCAAACACGAAAGUGGACGUAUACGGUGUGACGCCUGCCCGGUGCCGGAAGGUUAAUUGAUGGGGUCAGCGCAAGCGAAGCUCUUGAUCGAAGCCCCGGUAAACGGCGGCCGUAACUAUAACGGUCCUAAGGUAGCGAAAUUCCUUGUCGGGUAAGUUCCGACCUGCACGAAUGGCGUAAUGAUGGCCAGGCUGUCUCCACCCGAGACUCAGUGAAAUUGAACUCGCUGUGAAGAUGCAGUGUACCCGCGGCAAGACGGAAAGACCCCGUGAACCUUUACUAUAGCUUGACACUGAACAUUGAGCCUUGAUGUGUAGGAUAGGUGGGAGGCUUAGAAGUGUGGACGCCAGUCUGCAUGGAGCCGACCUUGAAAUACCACCCUUUAAUGUUUGAUGUUCUAACGUUGACCCGUAAUCCGGGUUGCGGACAGUGUCUGGUGGGUAGUUUGACUGGGGCGGUCUCCUCCUAAAGAGUAACGGAGGAGCACGAAGGUUGGCUAAUCCUGGUCGGACAUCAGGAGGUUAGUGCAAUGGCAUAAGCCAGCUUGACUGCGAGCGUGACGGCGCGAGCAGGUGCGAAAGCAGGUCAUAGUGAUCCGGUGGUUCUGAAUGGAAGGGCCAUCGCUCAACGGAUAAAAGGUACUCCGGGGAUAACAGGCUGAUACCGCCCAAGAGUUCAUAUCGACGGCGGUGUUUGGCACCUCGAUGUCGGCUCAUCACAUCCUGGGGCUGAAGUAGGUCCCAAGGGUAUGGCUGUUCGCCAUUUAAAGUGGUACGCGAGCUGGGUUUAGAACGUCGUGAGACAGUUCGGUCCCUAUCUGCCGUGGGCGCUGGAGAACUGAGGGGGGCUGCUCCUAGUACGAGAGGACCGGAGUGGACGCAUCACUGGUGUUCGGGUUGUCAUGCCAAUGGCACUGCCCGGUAGCUAAAUGCGGAAGAGAUAAGUGCUGAAAGCAUCUAAGCACGAAACUUGCC